GACGAACGCUGGCGGCGCGCUUAACACAUGCAAGUCGAACGAUGAACCCGGGGCUUGCUCCGGUGGAUUAGUGGCGAACGGGUGAGUAACACGUGAGUAACCUGCCCUUGACUCUGGGAUAACUGCGGGAAACUGUAGCUAAUACCGGAUACGACCCUCGGCGGCAUCGCCAGGGGGUGGAAAGAAUUUCGGUCAAGGAUAGACUCGCGGCCUAUCAGCUAGUUGGUGAGGUAACGGCUCACCAAGGCGACGACGGGUAGCCGGCCCGAGAGGGUGACCGGCCACACUGGGACUGAGACACGGCCCAGACUCCUACGGGAGGCAGCAGUGGGGAAUAUUGCACAAUGGGCGCAAGCCUGAUGCAGCAACGCCGCGUGAGGGAUGACGGCCUUCGGGUUGUAAACCUCUUUUAGUAGGGAAGAAGCGAAAGUGACGGUACCUGCAGAAAAAGCACCGGCUAACUACGUGCCAGCCGCCGCAGUAA
rnacentral:rRNA from 1 species